AGAGAGGCUCUGUGAACAAGUGAGGCAAGCAAAGGCUGCUCACAGCUAAUGGCAAGGCCCCACCUCCCACAGAGACUCGGAGGCAGGCUGCGGAGUAAGACAGCUUCACAGUGCAACAAGGGAGGGCUUCCGGUCUGCCCUAGCUGGAGGCUGCGGACCUGGGGAGCUGCAGGCGGGCUAUGAGAUGGUCAGAGGCUGAGGAUGGCAUUUAAGCACAAGUCUCAACCUUGUUGAUUGGGCUGUUCGUUUCUGUGGCACCAGGAAUUCCCUGCCGUUUGUCAAGCAGUAUUGUUGCACAGCAUCCUUGCUGCCACACUCUGGAGAGUUCUUGACAUCCCAGCAGCAAGUUCUGGCACAUUCUCACAACACCCAGGUCCUUGGCAGGAGAGGAACCAGAUGUAUUGUGCCAGAGAGUCCCAGGACCAUUUCCAAGUACCAGAGAGUCACUGAGUGCCCAUCAGGAUGGAGAUGAAGUCUCUGGGGAUGGACUGGACACACUGUGCCCAUCAGGAUGGAGAUGCAGUCUCUGGGGAUGGACUGAGCACACUGUGCACUCAGCCCUUGAGGAAGCAGAGACACUCAUUACUGAUUGGCCUAGUCUGAGUGUUUUUAAACUUCUGUGCAACUCAAGCUGCUUCUCCAACAUAGCACAUCCCUACACCAGAGCCAGCUGUGUCCAUUGAGGACUUCCUGUAGCUCAAGACGAUGCAAAUCAUCUGAAUAGAGCUGAGGAGAGAAGUGGAGAUCUUUGUCCUUGGGACCAAAAGAAACUGCAGCAUGAGAAGCUGUCCUGGUGCCAAUGGAGAGGCGUGCAGAGAACCAGGUCCAUUGCGCACAGACAAUAGACACGUUAUGUCCUUACUGAAGACUCCGAGGGCUGCUCAAAGCUCCACUUGGAGUGGAGGAGUGGAGAAGUGGUUCAUUGCGGAGGUGGGGCAGGUUGCCCACUGGUUUGGGAAGACACUUCCAUCACCAGUCCCAACCCUUGUUAUUCCCCUGGAGGUAGAUACUCAGUUGUCUGAGAAAAGAUGAAGUCAUCUCUGUUGGGUUUCAGGAUGUGAACGUGGAAGUGCUGGACCCAGAGGGGCGGAUGGAGGUGGAGAUGGAGAAGGUUGAUAAUGUCAAGACCCAAGAGGUGGUGCCUGAUGAACCACAGGGUGUGCUAAGGAGCCAGCCCCCGCCUGGGGUAUGGAGGCUGGCUGGUAGAAGACAGCUCUGAGCAUGUGGGUCCAAGCCAGUACCCAGGAACAAGCCCGGACAUGGGACCCACACCUGAACUGUGAUCUCAUGCCUAACAGGGCCACCACUCUACAGUUGUCUUGUCCAUGACUUCUGCACCCUGAGAAUGGCAUCUGCCUAUCCCCUAGAUACAACCGAAUGCCAGAAACAGUGUGUGCCAAAACAACCCCAAGAAACUGUAAGACCAGCACACCCCAAGCUGGGCUGUGAACUUGAUGUUAUCACUCAUUAGCCGAUACAGACCUGUAGGUCCCACGUCAGCCAAGAAUAUUGAGGCCAUGGGAAAUCGGGGCUUGUGGUGAUUUGGAUGAGAAGUCCCCCAUAGUCUUGGGACAUUUGAACACUUUGUUCCCUGUUGGUGGCACUGUUUGUAUAGGUUUCUGAGGUAUGACCUUGCUGGAGGAAGUGUGUCACUGGGGAUGGACUUUGAAAGACUGAACCACUUCUCAUUCACUCUCUUCCUCCUGGGGGUUCUAGACUUAUGUUCAAGACUUAGCUUCCUGCUUUGGCUGUCACACCUCCUCUAAGCCAUGAUAGACUCUCAUCCCAUGGGAACCAGAAACCCAAAUAAGCUCUCUCUUCUAGAAGUUGCCUUGGCUGUGGUGUUUUAUUACAGUGAUAGAAAAGUAACUCAGGCAGGGCCAAAGGAGAGGAAGACAUUUCUAUGUGUGUUAGACCCCCGAAAACUCAAGUAUCCGGGGUCUCAGGCCAGGUUCGCGGUCACCCCAAUCACCAGGCGGAUUCGAGAGCUUGCUGCAAACUGCACGAGGCUUUAUUGUAAUUUAACGAACUAACCCCAUACCCCCGAAAACUCAAGUAUCCGGGGUCUCAGGCCAGGUUCGCGGUCACCCAAUCACCAGGCGGAUUCGAGAGCUUGCUGCAAACUGCACGAGGCUUUAUUGUAAUUUAACGAACUAACCCCAUGUUAGCUCGGGUCUUUCACCCACCCGCCAUGGCAGACGGCUAGAAAAAGACGGCUCCU
rnacentral:lncRNA from 1 species